GACGAACGCUGGCGGCGUGCUUAACACAUGCAAGUCGAACGGAAAGGCCCUGCUUUUGUGGGGUGCUCGAGUGGCGAACGGGUGAGUAACCCGUGAGUAACCUGCCCUUGACUUUGGGAUAACUUCAGGAAACUGGGGCUAAUACCGGCUAGGAGCUCCUGCUGCAUGGUGGGGUUUGGAAAGUUUGGGCGGUUGGGGAUGGACUCGCGGCUUAUCAGCUUGUUGGUGGGGUAGUGGCUUACCAAGGGUUUGACGGGUAGCCGGCAUGGGAGGGUGACCGGCCACAUUGGGACUGAGAUACGGCCCAGACUCCUACGGGAGGCAGCAGUGGGGAAUAUUGCACAAUGGGCGGAAGCCUGAUGCAGCGACGCCGCGUGCGGGAUGACGGCCUUCGGGUGGUAAACCGCUUUCGCCUGUGACGAAGCGUGAGUGACGGUAAUGGGUAAAGAAGCACCGGCUAACUACGUG
rnacentral:rRNA from 1 species